rnacentral:tRNA from 1 species
UCCCUGGAAGACUAGUGGUUAGGCCUCGGCGCUCUCAUCACCAUGGACCGGGUUCGAUUCCCGGUCAGAGAA